rnacentral:rRNA from 1 species
UACCGAGGUCUCAAGCGUUGUUCGGAUUCAUUGGGCGUAAAGGGUGCGUAGGCGGCGCGGUAAGUCGGGUGUGAAAUCUCGGAGCUUAACUCCGAAACUGCAUUCGAUACUGCCGUGCUUGAGGACUGGAGAGGAGACUGGAAUUCCUGGUGUAGCGGUGAAAUGCGCAGAUAUCAGGAGGAACACCGGUGGCGAAGGCGGGUCUCUGGGCAGUAACUGACGCUGAGGAGCGAAAGCGUGGGGAGCAAACAGG